GAUGAACGCUGGCGGCGUGCCUAAUACAUGCAAGUCGAGCGAACAGACAAGGAGCUUGCUCCUUUGACGUUAGCGGCGGACGGGUGAGUAACACGUGGAUAACCUACCUAUAAGACUGGGAUAACUUCGGGAAACCGGAGCUAAUACCGGAUAACAUAUUGAACCGCAUGGUUCAAUAGUGAAAGGCGGCUUUGCUGUCACUUAUAGAUGGAUCCGCGCCGUAUUAGCUAGUUGGUAAGGUAACGGCUUACCAAGGCAACGAUACGUAGCCGACCUGAGAGGGUGAUCGGCCACACUGGAACUGAGACACGGUCCAGACUCCUACGGGAGGCAGCAGUAGGGAAUCUUCCGCAAUGGGCGAAAGCCUGACGGAGCAACGCCGCGUGAGUGAUGAAGGUCUUCGGAUCGUAAAACUCUGUUAUCAGGGAAGAACAAAUGUGUAAGUAACUGUGCACAUCUUGACGGUACCUGAUCAGAAAGCCACGGCUAACUACGUG
rnacentral:rRNA from 1 species